GAGCGUUUUAGCGUUUGGGUUCUCGUUUACACCGAGAGGGUCGGGGGUUCGAGCCCCUCACCGCCCACCA
rnacentral:tRNA from 1 species